GACGAACGCUGGCGGCGUGCUUAACACAUGCAAGUCGAACGGAAAGGCCCUGCUUUUGUGGUGUGCUCGAGUGGCGAACGGGUGAGUAACACGUGAGUAACCUGCCCUUGACUUUGGGAUAACUUCCGGAAACUGGGGCUAAUACCGGAUAGGAGCUCCUGCUGCAUGGUGGGGGUUGGAAAGUUUCGGCGGUUGGGGAUGGACUCGCGGCUUAUCAGCUUGUUGGUGGGGUAGUGGCUUACCAAGGCUUUGACGGGUAGCCGGCCUGGGAGGGUGACAGGCCACAGUGGGACUGGGAAACGGCCCAGACUGAUACGGGAGGAAGCAGUGGGGAAUAUUGCAAAAUGGGCGGAAGCCGGAAGCAGCAACGCCGGGUGCGGGAUGACGGCCUUCGGGGUGUAAACCGCUUUCGCCUGUGACGAAGAGUGAGUGACGGUAAUGGGUAAAGAGGCACCGGCUAACUACGUG
rnacentral:rRNA from 1 species